AUGGUCCUCCUUUCCAGCACUACACAGGGCGCCAGUUUCAGUGGCGAGAUUGCUGACAUAUCUGGCGCCCACAAGGUCUCUGCUGCCACGAGGCAGCGGAGGGCUGCUCUGACCGCUCCAUGGCAUAGACAUCGCAGAUUGUGUAGGCGCCGGAGCCAGAGGAAGGACGGGGCGCGGCCGGGCUGCAAGGCUGCACCGCCGGAUACAACGGUCGACGCUGCAUGGGCGGCAUGGUUGGUGGCGUGCACCAUGGCGCUGAUUGGGGAAAUACCAUUAUAUUUUGUUUCCCCCCAAUAUUUCAUUUCAGGGUAUCCCAUAGACUAG
rnacentral:rRNA from 1 species